AGCAAACGUGCUUUUGACUUCCUUAUGCUUGACUGGCCAGCAAAAUACAUUUUAUACCCUUCCAGCCCCCCAUCUUGGUAAGGGGCAGGACUUCUAACCCCAGCCGCUGUCAUUCAAACUGCUCCCACCAAUCAAACCACAGGCAGCGGUGGAAUCAAUAAGGCAGCUCAACCAGUGGAGGGCACCUACACAACAUCACACACAGACCAGAGCCACAGGAACUCCUGCAGGAAGUUACAGGCCUGCCUGAUCUCAAACAAAAGCUCUCUGUUAGGUGCUUGAAACCAUAGCGCUCUUGGAGCCAACCUUGGGUGACGAGAUUAGAAGUGCCAGUCCAGGAUCUGUUCAGCUCGGCCGGUGGGGUCAGGCAGUACAGCGGGGCUGCUGUACAUGGAGACUGUGCUCGGACCAUAUGGAAAAGGACGGACCACCACGGUUGUAUCCUAUGGCAAAAAUAUUUUUUUCAAUAUAUUUUAAUAUAUUAAUUAUGAAUUAAUAUAUUUUGGUAAAUAAAAAUAACAAAUGUACUCCAGAGGCAAGAAAGUUAAUGUCAGUGUUAUGCAUGUCAUUUGUUGUGUGUGUGGAAAAAAAAUGUGUUAUA